CCUACGGGAGGCAGCAGUGGGGGAUAUUGCACAAUGGGGGGAACCCUGAUGCAGCGACGCCGCGUGGGUGAAGAAGCGCCUCGGCGCGUAAAGCCCUGUCAGCAGGGAAGAAAAUGACGGUACCUGAAGAAGAAGCCCCGGCUAACUACGGGCCAGCAGCCGCGGUAAGACGUAGGGGGCAAGCGUUAGCUGGAUUUACUGGGUGGAAAGUGGGCCGAGGCGGCGGUGCAAGCCAGGAGUGAAAGCCCGGGGCCCAACCACGGGACUGCUCGUGGAACUGCGUGGCUGGAGUGCAGGAGGGGCAGGCGGAAUUCCUGGUGUAGCGGUGAAAUGCGUAGAUAUCAGGAGGAACACCGGUGGCGAAGGCGGCCUGCUGGACUGCAACUGACGUUGAGGCCCGAAAGCGUGGGGAGCAAACAGGAUUAGAUACCCGGGUAGUC
rnacentral:rRNA from 1 species